rnacentral:tRNA from 1 species
GGUGGCUUAGUGGUAGAGUGCUUGCCUCCAAUGCAUGAGGCUCUGGGUUCGAUUCCUCAGCACCA